ACAGCCCUAAACCGAACAGCCCCCUCCCAACGUCAUCGACGCCACCCCACCCCACCUCCCAUCACGUCACCUCACCACCACCACGCCCAUAUCCCACAAAAUCCGCUACGUACACCCCUCUUCUCUUUUCUCACACUCCUCUUGAAUAACCCAAAAAAUCUCAUCUGUUUUUUCUUAAAAAAAAAAAAAAAAAUCUCUUUUACCUUUAUGUUUGUUUUUUUUGUCGAAUCCUUGGUGGUUCUCGGCUCUUCAAGAGGAUUCGGAGACUCGAGACGACAACAAGCCUCAGUUCGCUGUCCUGGAAAAGAUGGGAGUUUGUUGGAGUUGUGGCUCAACUCUAAUUCUGCCCAGGUCAUUGGAGCAGUCAGCAGCAGAUUUAUUUGCUCGUGUCUAGCUGUCCCCCUACUUUCGCGUCAAGAGAAUCCGCGUCCUUCUUCCUCUCAAAUUUUGUCACAUUUCGUAUAUGAAAAUAUAUAUUACCUUGUGACUAACAUUUUGCUCUUUGCAUUGACUACUUUGCUUUGCUUUGUUGGGGUCGUACAAGCCAUUUAAGUGUGUUAGUAAACUUAGUCACUCGCUUUCCCUUCCAAGUACUGGAACUUAGUAUAAUUAUUCAUUAUAUUCUAUUCAUUACAUUGGAAUAGUCA